rnacentral:rRNA from 1 species
AAACUAACAAGGAUUCCCCUAGUAACGGCGAGUGAACCGGGAAGAGCUCAAAUUUGAAAUCUGGCGUGCUCAGUGCGUCCGAGUUGUAAUCUAUAGAGUCGUUUUCCGUGCCGGACUGUGUCCAAGUCCCUUGGAACAGGGUAUCAAAGAGGGUGAUAAUCCCGUACUUGACACAAUGACCGGUGCUCUGUGAUACGUCUUCUACGAGUCGAGUUGUUUGGGAAUGCAGCUCAAAAUGGGUGGUGAGUUCCAUCUAAAGCUAAAUAUUGGCGAGAGACCGAUAGCGAACAAGUACCGUGAGGGAAAGAUGAAAAGCACUUUGGAAAGAGAGUUAAACAGUACGUGAAAUUGUUAAAAGGGAAACGAUUGAAGUCAGUCGUGACUGAGAGGCUCAGCCGGUUCUGCCGGUGUAUUCCCCUCAGUCGGGUCAACAUCAGUUUUGUUCGGUGGAUAAGGGCAGUUGGAAGGUGGCACCCUCGGGUGUGUUAUAGCCAGCUGUCGCAUACAUCGGAUGAGACUGAGGAAUGCAGCUCGCCUUUAUGGCCGGGGUUC